GAUGAACGCUGGCGGCGUGCCUAAUACAUGCAAGUAGAACGCUGAAGGAGGAGCUUGCUCUUUCCGGAUGGGUUGCGAACGGGGGAGUAACGCGUAGGUAACCUGCCUGGUAGCGGGGGAUAACUAUUGGAAACGCUAGUUAAUACUGCAUCACAGUAGAGAUUGCAUGAUAUUUGCUUGAAAGGGGCAAUUGCUCCACUACCAGAUGGACUUGCGUUGUAUUAGCUAGUUGGGGAGGUAACGGCUCACCAAGGCGACGAUACAUAGCCGACCUGAGAGGGUGAUCGGCCCCCCUGGGACUGAGACACGGCCCAGACUCCUACGGGAAGCAGCAGGAGGGGAUCUUCGGCCAUGGACGGAAGGCUGACCGAGCAACGCCGCGUGAGGGAAGAAGGGUUUCGGAUCGUAAAGCUCUGUUGUGAGAGAAGAACGAGUGUGAGAGUGGAAAGUUCACACUGUGACGGUAUCUUAACAGAAAGGGACGGCUAACUACGUG
rnacentral:rRNA from 1 species